rnacentral:rRNA from 1 species
UACGGAGGGGGCGAGCGUUGUUCGGAUUUACUGGGCGUAAAGGGUGUGUAGGCGGUUGCGCAAGUCUGGUGUGAAAUCUUCACCGCUCAACGGGAAGAGGUCACUGGAAACUGCGUAACUCGAGUAUGGUAGAGGUCAGCGGAAUUCCUGGUGUAGCGGUGGAAUGUGUAGAUAUCAGGAAGAACAUCUGUGGCGAAGGCGGCUGACUGGGCCAUCACUGACGCUGAGACACGAAAGCGUGGGGAGCAAACGGG